UACAGAGGGCGCGAGCGUUGUCCGGAAUCACUGGGCGUAAAGGGCGCGUAGGCGGCCUUCUUAGUCGGACGUGAAAUCCCCAGGCUUAACUUGGGAACUGCGUCCGAUACUGGGAGGCUUGAGUGCGGGAGAGGGAUGUGGAAUUCCAGGUGUAGCGGUGAAAUGCGUAGAUAUCUGGAGGAACACCGGUGGCGAAGGCGGCAUCCUGGACCGACACUGACGCUGAGGCGCGAAAGCUAGGGGAGCAAACGGG
rnacentral:rRNA from 1 species